UUCUUUGAUUGAAGUAGACACUUAGUGGAGUCCUCUGGAUGGAUUCCAGCAGCUGCUGGUGGAAGCCCAAGAUGACAUCUCCAGCUGUGCUUUCCAGAAUCCAUCAGGGCCGAUGAGCAGGAGCACAAGUAACGGAACAAGUGGGACUUUUCCAGCCUUGUGAGUGAGGCUGGGGGUUCCUGGGACCCUCAAGGGGAGCUGAUUGGCAGCAGGAAGCAGCUUCAAUACUACACUCUUCUUGGAAAAGAAAACCAAGAAAUGAUGAAGAGCCCAAAGCUUGUCCUGACCAGCCAAAAGACAUGGACUUUGGGAGGACCGUUCAGAGAAUUCAGAGCCAAGGAGAGCAAUAAAAAUGUCUAAUCAAUAGUCCCAUUAAGUGUUUCAUGUUUUAAUGUUUUAAGUGUCAAUGUUUGGUUGGAAUAUAAUAGGAGUUAUAGUUUUCCUCUUCAAGUUUUUUGGUGUGUUUGUUUGUUUUUGAGACUGGGCCUUCCUCACUCUCAACCAGACUGGAAGUACAGUAGUCACCCAAGAGGCCCCCUCCCAAUAUUGAUCAGCACAGAAGCUUUAACCUGCUACAUUUUCCUGACUUGGGUGGUUUGGCUUUGGUCCUAUUGCACCAGAACUUCUGGACUCAGGUGAUUUACCAGCCUCAGUCUCCCCAAACGGAGGUGCAUAUAGUGUGUAUACCAAACUACUGUUCGUUUUCGGUUGCUCCUUGUUGUUGUUGAUGGUGAGUCAUUCCAAUCACAUCUGACUCCACCACCACAUUUGGAGUUUUCUUGGCAGAGAUGCUAGAGUGGUUUGG